AUUGAACGCUGGCGGCAUGCCUUACACAUGCAAGUCGAACGGCAGCACGGGAGCAAUCCUGGUGGCGAGUGGCGAACGGGUGAGUAAUAUAUCGGAACGUGCCCAGUCGUGGGGGAUAACGUAGCGAAAGCUACGCUAAUGCCGCAUACGAUCUACGGAUGAAAGCGGGGGAUCGCAAGACCUCGCGCGAUUGGAGCGGCCGAUAUCAGAUUAGGUAGUUGGUGAGGUAAAGGCUCACCAAGCCGACGAUCUGUAGCUGGUCUGAGAGGACGACCAGCCACACUGGGACUGAGACACGGCCCAGACUCCUACGGGAGGCAGCAGUGGGGGAAUUUUUGGGACAAUGGGCGCAAGCCUGAUCCAGCAAUGCCGCGUGCAGGAUGAAGGCC
rnacentral:rRNA from 1 species